GACGAAGGGGGCUAGCGUUGUUCGGAAUUACUGGGCGUAAAGCGCGUGUAGGCGGUUAUCCAAGUCAGGUGUGAAAGCCUUGAGCUCAACUCAAGAAAUGCACUUGGUACUGGGUGACUAGAGGACCGGAGAGGAUAGUGGAAUUCCAGUGUAGUGGUGAAAUACGUAGAGAUUGGGAAGAACACCAGUGGCGAAGGCGGCUAUCUGGACGGUUUCUGACGCUAAGACGCGAAAGCGUGGGGAGCAAACAGG
rnacentral:rRNA from 1 species